CGUCUGGCAGUAGCACCUCAGGGUCUGAUGGGAGAGGAUGUCUGACACACUUCCAAAGCAGCGUUCCUGUGCACAUUUCACGUUACCUGUCGGCACUGGCUGUGGACCGAUGGUUAUCACAUGGUUUUUCUGUAUCUGAGAUUGCAGCAAACACACUGACAGAAUUUGUGGGGGCUCUCAAUCCUCACCAUUUGCCCGAGAGCAGGAUGAUAUUCCAUUGUAUGACUAUACCAUGCUCACACAUCCAUCCAUCAGUUAACGGGCACAGAGGCUGCUCCCACUCUCUGGCUACCAUGAAGAGCAGCUAUGAACAUGGAUACGUUGUCACUGCUGUUGCUAACUGGAUUCUGCUGAGCUGAACUGCUGGUGUUAUCAGUGAAGUGCUUGCAAAGGAUCGAGCUGCUGCCGCCAGAUGACCUGUGAAUUGAACUGCUGAUUUCCAGACAACACAGACUGGAGUUGCUUCAGAGAACCUUUCUAAACAGGACACCUGACGGAAACAACCUAAAGAAUGAAGAAGGGUUUGUUAUUGUUGUUUGCUGUGUGAGAGAGUACGCCGGCUGCUGCUCACAUGAUCCCAGCUGUUAGGAAGUAGAGACAAAAACACUGACUAGAACCAGGGCCAGACUGCUGCCCAGAAGGCCUGCCACCCCAGGGAUCACUUCCUCCCGUGAGGCUCCACCUUCUAAAGGUUCCAAAACCUUCCAAGCCAGCUGCCAGCUGUAACCCGAUGUUCAAACACACGAACCAAAUGGGGGUGUCGAAUGGCCAAACCAAAACACGAUUCAAGUGAAAAACUGAAAGACUACUGUUGUAACCUA
ensembl:lncRNA